rnacentral:rRNA from 1 species
GUGCCAGCAGCCGCGGUAAUACGUACCGGACGAACGUUAUUCGGAAUUACUGGGCUUAAAGAGUGCGUAGGCGGCCUUGAAGGUGGGGUGUGAAAGCCCACGGCUCAACCGUGGAAUUGCGCUCCAAACCGCAAGGCUUGAGGGAGACAGAGGUGAGCGGAACUGAUGGUGGAGCGGUGAAAUGCGUUGAUAUCAUCAGGAACACCCGUGGCGAAGGCGGCUCACUGGGUCUCUUCUGACGCUGAGGCACGAAAGCUAGGGGAGCGAACGGGAUUAGAUACCCCGGUAGUCCUAGCUGUAAACGAUGAGCACUAGAUCGUGGGGGCUUCCACACCCUCUCGGUCGUAGCGAAAGUGUUAAGUGCUCCGCCUGGGGAGUAUGGUCGCAAGGCUGAA